rnacentral:rRNA from 1 species
UACGGGGGGGGCAAGCGUUGUUCGGAAUUACUGGGCGUAAAGGGCUCGUAGGUGGCCAACUAAGUCAGACGUGAAAUCCCUCGGCUUAACCGGGGAACUGCGUCUGAUACUGGAUGGCUUGAGUUUGGGAGAGGGAUGCGGAAUUCCAGGUGUAGCGGUGAAAUGCGUAGAUAUCUGGAGGAACACCGAUGGCGAAGGCAGCCUCCUGGGCCAGCACUGACGCUCAUGCACGAAAGCGUGGGGAGCAAACAGG